GCUUGCUCUUCUUGGAUGAGUUGCGAACGGGUGAGUAACGCGUAGGUAACCUGCCUUGUAGCGGGGGAUAACUAUUGGAAACGAUAGCUAAUACCGCAUAACAAUGAAUGACUCAUGUCAUUUAUUUGAAAGGGGCAAUUGCUCCACUACAAGAUGGACCUGCGUUGUAUUAGCUAGUAGGUGAGGUAACGGCUCACCUAGGCGACGAUACAUAGCCGACCUGAGAGGGUGAUCGGCCACACUGGGACUGAGACACGGCCCAGACUCCUACGGGAGGCAGCAGUAGGGAAUCUUCGGCAAUGGGGGCAACCCUGACCGAGCAACGCCGCGUGAGUGAAGAAGGUUUUCGGAUCGUAAAGCUCUGUUGUAAGUCAAGAACGAGUGUGAGAGUGGAAAGUUCACACUGUGACGGUAGCUUACCAGAAAGGGACGGCUAACUACGUGCCAGCAGCCGCGGUAAUACGUAGGUCCCGAGCGUUGUCCGGAUUUAUUGGGCGUAA
rnacentral:rRNA from 1 species